rnacentral:lncRNA from 1 species
GUUCAGCUAAAAAUAAAGCCCUUUAUCAGUUUGGUCACUGGAAGGACUUGUUCCCUUCUUGUUGAUGAUCAGAAACCUUAGCAGGAACUAAUUCUCAAGUGUCUGCCUUAACAGAAAAGCCACAAAGAAACAUGGUAAGAGCGUGGCAGAUAACAUCCACGGUGCUAUCGGGAGGUGACAGGUGACUGACCUCAGCCUUGGUGUUCAAGAAGAUUCCAGAAGCACGUCCUAAUCUGUGUCCUGGAAAACAACACUCUACCCCACAGCAACAAGGCAUGGAGGCCAAUGGAGAAGACAGGGAGAUGGUGCUGGAAGCAGGGUCUGCUCUUCCCCUGGGGAAGCACUGCAUCACCAGUGUCUGACACAAAGCCUGGGACAUGUGGGCUUCCAAGUGGACCUCUCCUGGAUAAAUGACCAUUAAUGAAACAGAGAAGGAGUUGAAGAGCCCCCAGAGGAGUGUGAGUCCCAGGGGUCCCGCCAGCUCCACUCCCACCUUCCAAACCUGUGAAAGUCAGGUGCCUGAGUCGCACAGUCUCUCCCACCCGAAUGCCAUGAGCUGCAGCUGUCUUGGCCGCUUUCUGUUUGUGACUCUCCCUGCCUCCACUCCCCCCACCACCCCAUGAAAUGAUCUCAUUUGGUCAUUUAAACGGAAAACUAAAAAGUUUUAAGUGACUCUAGGAGAGCAGGAGAGAGGCAGGUCUCCCAGCUCAGACCCCGCCCCGGGACGGCCCCACGGAAGAUGCACAUCUGGAUGUAGGCGCUCAAGGCACCGCGCGUGCGCCGAGUGGCCUUGCUCAGCUCCGUCCUUCUGAAACCCGGAAUCCUCAUGUGUCUGGGUCCCGCCCCAUCCUGGCCUCCUACACCACUGGUCCAGAUCCUCCACCUUCCCCCAACGCGAGGUAUUGACAUCAAAGCAUCACCUCAUCUGGCACAAGAAUCUGAAACACAGACCGCACCUUACACCAACGUAGUGAAUCCCUCCUUGGACCUGAGUUCAACAAGCCCAGAGUCGGGGCUCUGGGUUCCCGCCCAAAUGCCACGCAUGCACACAGAUGGCACCUGGCGUCUCCUCAAAGGGACAGGAAUCCCGGGCUUCCCAGAAUCACCAGGUCGAUUUAAAUGGCAUCAGAUGAACUGGAAAAGAAUGAAAGUGCUAUUGCCUAAAGUGAUGAAAUUUUCAGAGGAUGUAUCGGUCCUGUCUGGUGGACAGACGGCCACCAGAGGGAAUGAACCAGUCUUCUCUGAACAUCCAUGAGGAUGAAGAACAGUCACUGAGGUGACGGUACCAAGUCACCGGCCACCUCCCAGGGAUCCUCUCAUCCGGUCCUCACAGCAGCGCUGCAUGGUCGGACCUCAUCACCCACAUUCCACCAAGAGGAAGCUGAAGCCCAGGGCCUUCAUCCACUCAUGUCCUCCAGACCCCUGGCACCCAUCCUGGGCCCCACCCCAUCAUCCAGGCCUUGGGCCUUCGACCUGGGGAGAGUCCCUGUCUCCUCCAUGAGCCGUCCAGGGCCUGAAGAGGUAUCCAAUAAACAAGAAAGCAGAACACAAAGAGCUGUGAUGGAGUGGAUCUUAUGUAGUAAGAAUAAAAUUAUUUUGAGAAAUUACUGGGUCAUGUAUUUACCCACAGAAAAACAGAAGCAAACACACGCGUGCGCGCACACACACACACACACACCACACAGGCUGUCACGUGUCCUCAGCACAAAGUGCCUUGAGAAAGGCCAUUGCUGGCCCCACACUUAUCCUGACUGUGAUCUUGCUGUGAUCAGCACAUCCCAUCAGUGUGGCAACAGGUGUGGCCAGAGUGGGAACCAGGCCUUUUCUUCAGAUUUGCUCUUUGUUCCUGAAUAGCCACCGUCAGAACAGAC